rnacentral:rRNA from 1 species
UAGCGUUGCUCGGAAUCACUGGGCGUAAAGCGCACGUAGGCGGAUUGUUAAGUCAGGGGUGAAAUCCUGGAGCUCAACUCCAGAACUGCCUUUGAUACUGGCGAUCUUGAGUCCGGGAGAGGUGAGUGGAACUGCGAGUGUAGAGGUGAAAUUCGUAGAUAUUCGCAAGAACACCAGUGGCGAAGGCGGCUCACUGGCCCGGUACUGACGCUGAGGUGCGAAAGCGUGGGGAGCAAACAGG